CAGUAGCCGCGGGAAUACGUAGGGUGCGAGCGUUAAUCGGAAUUACUGGGCGUAAAGCGUGCGCAGGCGGUUCGUUAAGACAGAUGUGAAAUCCCCGGGCUUAACCUGGGAAUUGCAUUUGUGACUGGCGAGCUAGAGUAUGGCAGAGGGGGGUAGAAUUCCACGUGUAGCAGUGAAAUGCGUAGAGAUGUGGAGGAAUACCGAUGGCGAAGGCAGCCCCCUGGGCCAAUACUGACGCUCAUGCACGAAAGCGUGGGGAGCAAACAGGAUUAGAGACCCGAGUAGUCCCUGUCUCUUAUAC
rnacentral:rRNA from 1 species